UAGGGGGCAAGCGUUAUCCGGAUUUACUGGGUGUAAAGGGAGCGUAGACGGCAUAGCAAGUCCGGAGUGAAAGCCCGGGGCCCAACCCCGGGACUGCUCUGGAAACUGUUAAGCUUGAGUGCGGGAGGGGCAGGCGGAAUUCCUGGUGUAGCGGUGAAAUGCGUAGAUAUCAGGAGGAACACCGGCGGCGAAGGCGGCCUGCUGGACCGUAACUGACGUUGAGGCUCGAAAGCGUGGGGAGCAAA
rnacentral:rRNA from 1 species